AUUGAACGCUGGCGGCAUGCUUUACACAUGCAAGUCGAACGGUAGAGGGGGCAACCCCUUGAGAGUGGCGAACGGGUGAGUAAUGCAUCGGAACGUGCCCAGUCGUGGGGGAUAACGCAGCGAAAGCUGUGCUAAUACCGCAUACGAUCUCUGGAUGAAAGCGGGGGACCGAAAGGCCUCGCGCGAUUGGAGCGGCCGAUGUCAGAUUAGGUAGUUGGUGGGGUAAAGGCUCACCAAGCCAACGAUCUGUAGCUGGUCUGAGAGGACGACCAGCCAAACUGGGACUGAGACACGGCCCAGACUCCUACGGGAGGCAGCAGUGGGGAAUUUUGGACAAUGGGCGCAAGCCUGAUCCAGCAAUGCCGCGUGCAGGAAGAAGGCGUUCGGGUUGUAAACUGCUUUUGUACGGAACGAAAAGGUCUGGGUUAAUACAGGGGGCUAAUGACGGUGCCGUAAGAAUAAGCACCGGCUAACUACGUGCCAGCCGCCGCAGUAA
rnacentral:rRNA from 1 species